rnacentral:lncRNA from 1 species
ACCUUACAAAAUGGCGACGGCCGCUCGAGCCUGGACGCGACCGGGCCCUUUCUCGCGCGCCAGCUCACGCACGCGCGAGUGCGCGCUGCUUCCCUCCCCUUCCCCUCGCGGGAGCCGAGUGACCAAUCCCGAGGCUGCAUACAAAUGACCACGCAGCACGGGGGCGGGGCCUGUUGGUGGUGGCGCGGCGCCGCGGAGGUCAGCCCACCCCCAGCCCCAGCCAGCCAGUCACCACCCUGGAAAGGGUCGCCACUGCUGCGUCAGAGGGGCUCUGAACGCAACCACUGCCUAGAAAAGCGGAGGCCUUGGGGAGUCGCUCACCACAAUGGGUCCUGCUCUUGGGCCCUUUGAGGGGGGCGGGGAGCUAAUGACAGAGGAAUCUCCCCGAGGGCCCUAAAAAGGGGCUUUUGUAGCGGGCUGGCCGGCUUCUGUGGCAGCUUGGGGCAACAUUUCAAAAAUACAGGUGCGCCACAUUUUAAGCAAAACUAGUCAUUGUUUUGUAGCGCUUUAAACAUUAUUUUAAAGUUUGUCAUUGCAGAGGUGUUAUUUAUUGCUACGGAAACUGAGAACCAAGGGGCAGAAAGAUAACCUGGCAGAACUGGGACAGGCCUAAGAGGCAUUGCUACCCAGGCUACGCUUAGUCAUGUUUUGUUUGCUCGUGAGUAUCCGUGGUCUGAUUCUCUCUCACUCAUUGUGUGUCCAUCACAGUCCUGGUCUGUGGUGAGCACGCCAGAGGAAUACUUGGUGGAGAGGCCCAGCGAGGUCCCUAGUUCUGGGUGGGACAGGGUCUCCUCGUACACACCAAGCUGGAAGUCUAGGCAACUGAGUUUCCCGACUGUCUAGCAUUCAAAAUUCAGCUGUGGUCCAAGGGCACCUCCUGGCGGUAAAAACAAGCUUAGGCGUGCCAGGUGCGGCGGCUCACGCCUAUAAUCCCAGCACUUUGGGAGGCCAAGGCGGGCGGAUCACGAGUUCAGGAGUUCGACACCAGCUUGGCCAACAUGGUGAAACCCCGUGUCUACUAAAAAUACAAAAAAUAGCCCGGCGUGGUGGCGGGCGCCUGUAAUCCCAACUACUCGGGAGGCUGAGGCAGGAGAAUCGUUGGAACCCGGGAGGCGGAGGUUGCAGUGAGCCGAGAUGGCGUCACUGCACUCCAGCCUGGGUGACAGAGCAAGACUCGGUCUCAAAAAAAAAAAAAAAAGAAGUUUAGGCUGAUUCCCCACUGUCACCUUCCAGCAAAGAGUAGCCUUUUAUGGAGAUUGAUGGAUUGGGUUUAUCUCCUAGUAGAGCCCGCCAGGGAGGUUGUCAGCCACCAUUCCUCAUUUUAGUGGCUCCAUAAUGGCUUCUCUGAUACCAUCUGGGACACAUUCCCCAGGCUGCCCUCUUCCACCCCAGCUACUUGGAUAUGUUCUUUACCUGAGUUCUUUUUGUUUCUCAGCCAUUUCAGAAGAGGCACUGUCCUUCCAAUUUUAUUUUAUUUUUAUUUUUUGUUUAAUUUUUUAAAGACAGAGUCUCACUGUGUCGCCCAGGCUGGAGGGCAGUGGUGCGAUCUCGGCUUACUGCAACCUCCACCUCCUGCGUUCAAGCCAUUUUCCUGCCUCAGCCUCCCGAGUAGCUGGGACUACAGGCGUGCGCUACCCCCCAGCUAAUUUUUGUAUUUUUAGUAGAGACAGGGUUUCACCGUGUUGGCCAGGCUGGUGUCGAACUCCCGACCUCAAGCGAUCCGCUGGCCUUGGCAUCCCAAAGUGUUGGGAUUACAGGCGUGAGCCACCUCGCCCGGCCCUUAACUAUUAUUACUAUUAUUUUUGAGUCAGGGUGUCACUUUGUUGUCCAGGCUAGAGUGCAGUGGCACCAUUAUGGCUCACUGUAGCCUCGACCUCGCAGGCGCAAGUGAUCUUCCUAUCUUAGCCUCUGGAGCAGCUGGGACCACAGGUGUGGGCCACCCCAUCCAGCUAAUUUAAAUUUUUUUUUUUUGUAGAGAUGGGGGUCUCACUGUGUUGCCCAGGCUGGUCUCAAACUUCUGGGCUCAAGAUGUUUCCACCACAGUCUCACAAAAUGCUGGGAUUCAGGUGUGAGCCACUGCACCCGGCUUAUAUGUGCUGCUAAUUUAAAAUAGCACUAUCCUAUGUUAAUAUUAUCUAAUGUUUAUGCCCAAAUUUCUCCUGGAUUGUUACAAAUGUCUUUUUACAGUUGAUUUCUUCUAAUCUGGACUUAAACAUUGUACAUUUGUAUGCAUUAUGUAAAUGGUGUGUUUUGAGUUGUAUAGCUGUGUCUUACUAUUUUUCCACUAAGGGCUAUGUCGCCGCAUGAUGUCUAACUAGCGAGUAACGCAGUCCUCUGUGGUGUACAGUCACAUAUUGUACCUGUUCAUCUCUGGGCAUAGGGCACUCAGCUUCCAGCUCUCUGUCAUUAUAAACAAGGCUGCAGUGAACAUGCUUAAGUAUGUGCCCUAAUUCUGUGUGAGAAUUUGGGGGGAUAUAAAACCAGAGGUGGAAUUGCUGGGUCAUAGAGUAUACGUAGAACUCACCUGUCUAAGUAGCACUGAAUUCUCUGGAAAAGCUGCACCAGCAUACUCUUCCACCUGUAGCAUAUGAGGGGCCUUGUAUCUCUACAUCCCUGCCAGUGAUAGACAUUAUCCGCUUUUCUAAUUUUUGUCAGUCUAAUAGAUAUAAAGUGAUAUUUCAUUGUUGCUUUAAUUUGUAUUUCUCUGGUUACUAAUGAUUUUAAGCAUCCCUUCUUGUUGUCUUUUUUUUGUGUGUGAUGGAGUCUCACUCUGUCGCUCAAGCUGGAGUGCAGUGGUACUAUCUCGGCUCACUGCAGCCUCUGCCUCCUGGGUUCAAGCGAUUCUUCUGCCUCAGCCUCCUGAGUAGCUGGGAUUACAGGCGUGUGCCACCACCACGCCCGGCUAAUUUUUGUAUUUUUAGUAGAGACGAGGUUUCACCAUAUUGGUCAGGCUGGUCUUGAAUUCCUGACCUUGUGAUUCGCCCACCUCGGCCUCCCAAAGUGCUGGGAUUACAGGUGUAAGCCACCACGCACAACCUUUUUUUUUUUUUAUUAGACGGAGUCUUGCUCUGUCGCCCAAGCUGGAGUGCAGUGGUGCGAUCUCAGCUCACUGCAACCUCCGCCUCCCAGGUUCAAGCAAUUCUCCUGUCUCAGCCUCCUGAGUAGCUGGGACUACAGGCACGUGUCACCACACUUGGCUGAUUUUUGUAUUUUUAGUAGAGACGGGGUUUCACAUUGGUCAGGCUGGUCUCGAACUCCUGACCUUAGGUGAUCCACCCACCUUAGCCUCCCAAAUUGCUGGGGUUAAAGGCGUGAGCCACUGUGCCCAGACUUGUUUUUUGAGAAAGGGUCUUGCUUUGUCAUGCAGGCUGGAGUGCAGUGGCACGAUCAUAGCUUGCUGUAGCCUCUAGCUCCUGGGCUCAAAUAAUCCUCCUGCUUCAGGAGGCUGAAGCCCUCAGCCCUCAGCCUCCCAAGUAGCUAGGACUAUAUGCCCAGCUAAUUUUUUUGUUUUUGGUAGAGACGAGUUCUCACUAUGUUGCUAGUCAAACUCCUAGCCUCAAGUGAUCCUCCCACUUCAGCCUCCCAAAACACUAGGAUUACAGGUGUGAGGCAAAUACACCUGGCCUCUUGAAUUUUCGAGUUUAUGCUUCUGUAAAUUUCCUGUUCAUAUCUUUUGCCCAUCUUUCUUUUCAGGUUGUAGGCUCCUUUUUUG